UCUGUGAGCUCUGUGUUGAAUGUGUUACUGUGCUUUGUUCACAGGUCUAUGAGGUAGAGUGUCAGUGCCAGUGGUGCUGUGGAGAGUUGGCGUCUGUGUACAGACACUGCAGUUGGUGCCUCGAGUGCUGGUUGUGCAGCUGAAGCGGUUCAGUCUGAACUCCAGAGGACACCUGGUGAAGCUGCACGAUCGGCUCCACAUCUCACCCCAGCUCAGCCUGCAGGCCCACAGCAGGGCCAAUGUUCGCCUCCCAGGGAUGCCAAAGACCCACCAGACCCAUGGAGACUGCCUGGAUACCUCCUCCUCCCCAGGGGGUGCUGUCUGCUUUACAGGCAGUUUAUGUGUGCAAGAUAUUCCAUUCCAUUUUGCCACCUGUAAAGUGUUAAACUCAUUUUAGGGCUGGAGUGUCUGACUGCUGUUGAAGCCCAUCAGUGUCUGCUGGUUUUUGGUGUGUUUAUAGGCAGACUAUGCAGGAUCUUUUCCUUGAAAAUAUUAUAAAAUAACCAUGCUAAGGCAUAUCUGUAAUGCUCUGGUAAUCUAUGUCUUUACUUAUUUUCAUUGAAUUUGUGCACCUUUUACCUGUAUUUGUAAUACUAAUAUGUGUUUGGGGCAUGUUCUGUGGGGAGGGGUGGGCAUGGCUACAGAGCCUGUGGUUUGGGAUCAGAUUCCAGAAGUGCUUGUUGCUUGUUAGCUGCUGCAAUGACAGAUGCUAAGAAGCCUAGAUACAGUGAAGCAAAAAGACAAGCUGACAAGGCUUUGUUUAAUAAUUAGAGUCAACCUUGGAACUGCUUUUCCUCAAUGACAUCAGCUGAAGUUUUCCAAGGGUGAUGAAAAGUGAAAACUUCUGAAAAAGUAAUUCACUAUAAACAGUUAUAGUGGAUAACAGGAUAAACAGUUAGCAUUCUAAAUGCUAAAUAUUAUUUUGAGCCAUGACACACCAAGGCUGCAGGUCUCUGGUUGCUUGGCAGGUUGUCACUGCUGAGCCUGGUCUUGGACACUGGCUUUACCUCCUGAGCCUGAAUGAUAUAAUACUGCUAGAUAAUACCGGUAUUCUGGGAUGGACAAAUGAUCAAUUCAUCUUGGGUCCAUGUCUUCUGUGAGUGUGUAUUCACAUUUUUUUAUAAAUUCAUUUUGCUUUACAGCACAUAAUCAUUUCAGAAUCAUGUUAAAUUGUAUUGUAUUGUACAAACAAAUGUAUUUUAUGCAAAACUCUCUGUGGUUUUAUCAAGAGGUAGGUAGUUUAGGUAGAUUAUGGGUAUUUAGCAGAUGCAAUUAUACAGGGUGCUUUUUCGCAUACAGUAGUGUACUAAAGCAACAAUCGUAUCCAACCUGGGAAUCAAACCGGCAACCUUUAGGUUACAAGGCCAGUUCCUUAAACGAUGUACUACACUGCCACCCACUACGGGCUGAAGCGGUUCAUUUUGCAGUAGUAUUCUUUUUCCCAGGAAUCACUGUUAUAGUUUGCAUGAAUGCGCUUAUGUGCUCUGCCAGCUGAGCAAAAUUUCACUGACCUGGACAAAAUGAGCAACACAGUCCAAAGCAAUUUGUUUUUCAUCAGGGGUAUGAACUCUUGUAACAGGAAUUACUUUUCUGUACAUGUUAAUUCUGCUCUUCACCAUCUGAGGAGUUCUAAAUAGAUAAACUAUUUUUAAAAACUA